AGUCCGCUGGCUCAAACGCCAUUACAAGAUGGCGCUGGUUUCCUGUUUAUCCCGAAUGCUAACGUGUCGCUCUCCCGCCCGAUAGUACUGACCAAUCAGCUUACCGCCCAAGCUCCGCCCCCAGAACCUGCAUAUAAGCCAGCUUGCCCCGGCGCCCGGGGCCCUCCUCCCGUACCAGCUCUCCCGAGAAGCCAUAACCGAGCAGCGUUCAAUAAAACCGUGAUAGAGGAAGAAUCUUGGAGUCGUGUCUUGCUUCCCCGCUGGUCGGGGCGCGCCGCAACUGGUGCCGAAACCCGGGAAACUUCGGACCUUGCGAACGACUCGGAGGAGGGCCGAAGAUUCAGAACCUCACACGGGAACGAAUGCAAGAGACCCGAUUUGGGUGCCGACAAGACUAACACGAGGGGUACAACAACAUGAGGAAGAUGGAGAAGAUGAUGCUGACCUUCCUGACGAUCAGCCUCUCCCUGAAUCUGGCCUGGACUCAGGAUGACAUAUUCUGGGCUUUCCUUCGAGCCUGGCCUGUGCCCGCUCCUGUGUUUUUAACGGAUACUCUCUUUCCACAAUUUCAUUCCACCAUCUGCAGGCUGGAGGAUGAAGUUUGUUAUCCUACCACCUAUCAAACUUCAAGCUAUAAUAGCACUGAUUUUAUUUUCCAGUUCAAAAACAGUGCUUAAACAGUAAACCUUUUAAACCAGCCAAGAAUAAGUUAGGAUCCCUGUUUCAGGCAUAUAACAACAAAAGUCUGGCAGGGUACCCCUGGGAUAUGAGAGAGAAUUUGAAAUGUUACAAUUGAAUUUCACCGCCUCUAUUGCUGCCCUAAAUCAGACGCGUGCUCAUUUGACCACCUUGGGAGAAUUUACUGAUUUUUUGGUCA